AUUGCGCAUGCGGGAAACCCACGCUGAGGGAAGAAUCAUGGGAAAGAGUAGAGACGGGGUUCCACCGUGUUAGCCAGGAUGGUCUCGAUUUCCUGACCUCGUCAUCCUCCCGCCUUGGCCUCCCAAAGUGCUGGGAUUACAGGCUUGAGCCACCGCGCCCCGCUCUUUCGUGUUCCAAAGGCUUUUUAAAUAAACUUCCACUCCUGUCCUGGAUUCUGCUUUAUGGCCCUCAGUCGAAUUCUUUCUUCUGAGGAGGCAAGGACUGAAGUUGCUUCUGACCAGUACAGGAGAAAACGAAUACAGCAGGGAUGACUUCCACCAGCUCCACUUUGCAGCUCUGAGGUGUAUUAAAAAUGACCUGGAAGAAGUCAUGCCACGGGCCAGACCUUAACAUUCCUUUCGGCUUACCCCAGGAUUUCAGACAAAGCUUCACUUUCCUAACCAGUCACAAAUCAGAGAAUUUUUGAUUCCACCUAUGACCUGUGAGCUCCUGCUUCAAGAUAUUCCACCUUUUUUAGGCCAAACCAAUGUAUAACCUCCAAGUGUCGAUUUACACUUUCGACUGUAACUUCUGCUUUCCUGAGAUUUACCCCUGCCUUUAAAAACCCUUGCUUGUAAUCCCUCAGGGAGGCCGUGUAUUUAUUAAUCAUGAGCUGCCCAAUUCUCCUUGCUUGGUGCCCUGCAAAUAAACACCCUCUUUUCUCCCACUGCAAAA